rnacentral:sRNA from 1 species
AUUCUGCCCAUGCGGGGAAGGAUGAGAAGCUUCGACCAAGGUUCGACUCGAGUGCCAGCGAGAGAGCGUUGCCGCAGGCAACGCCCCGUAGGGCGAAGCGCGCAGCGCUGAGUAAUCCUUCCCCCACCACCA